GAUAUCGGACGAGCUUCUACGACGGACGGACUUUGGCAGCUGGAUUUCUACAACAGUCGAUCGCCUCUGGUGUCUGCCAAACCUCCCCAACACCAUCCGAGGUCCACCACUGGUCGACCCUCCGCCAGAUUCUUCAUGAAAUCGGACUUCUUCGAUGGAUAAUCCUUAGACGAGCUUUCACAUCAGGCAAAUCUCUGACGGACUUCUCUAGCAAUCGAACUCCUACCGGACUUCACCAACAGAAAGUCUCCAUCCGAGCUUCUACG
rnacentral:lncRNA from 1 species